AAAUGGAUUGUCUGAGUUUUUCUAUUUUUAAAUGGUGAUAUUUUAACGUAAUUAUUUGUGAAAUUUUGUUGGCUACUAAGAUUACAAAAAAUUAAAGGAAACUAAUGAUAUGAUGGUUCUAGGACGCAAAAUUUGGAUCUGGUAAAAGCGGUGCACCAAUGCACUAAGAGCUCUGCUGCUUCUCGUUCUUGGACGCAUAAUAUUCGCUGAUUCGAUUCUCUGCGCUGCCCAGUAGAAAGCGUGACGGCUAGUAGAAACGGACUACUACAGCAGAUUUAUUGCUCAAAUUGCCUGCAUUUCAACUUUAAAGAGGCUGAUGCAUCAGUGGCGCUUUAAUAGUAGAAACCGCCAGCCAGGGUCUCAACACUUAAAAUGUACAAACAUAUCAGUUAUAUGUAUGAAAAAAUUCAAGUGAAAUUUUGUGCUAAAACAUUUUCUAUUCGCGCAACUAUUUAGGGUAUUUAGCUUUGAGAGCAAAACACUGAUUAUUUUAAAGCAAUAAAAUUUCGCACUUAAAAUCACAUUAUUUUUAUGUAAACAUUUAAUGAAAAGAGCUUGAAAUUAAUAGCAAAUAUUUACAAAUAAUUUAAAUAGUUGUCAUAAAUCGGUGCUUACAAACUAAUAUUUAGGCCACUUAGUUUUUGUGAACACACACACGGACACGUUUAAAAGCGCUCUAUAAAAAUUUGCAUAAAACGCACACUUGCAAAAACUGCGUAUUUUAAGUACCACACAUUCAUAUAUACAUUCACAGCACUUUAAUACGCAAAUCAAAUAAA